CAGAAUACCUAGCACUCUCAAGCGACAGUGAGUGAUCACCAGGCCUGUCUCAGUGUUACCAAGUGCAUGCAUACCUGAACACUGAGCAGUCUAUCGUCAAAUCCAAAAUGGUGUUAUGGUUGGGAGAUUGACUCUAAAAGCAAGGAUAUAAGAGUUCAGUAUGAAUCGUUCGGAAAAAUAGAAGCCCUAAGUUACUGUCUCUCUGUUAAGAAGAUUAAAGUUUGAAUAAAUAAGGACGGUCAUGCCCUUGACUUUUUACUGUAAUAACCGAAUAUGACAACUGCAUGUAACAUUUAUAAUCCGGGUCGCCAUUUUGAUUGUAGGCCUGAGUGUCCACUUCUGUUCAAAACAGUUGAUAUCUUGUCACACAAGUACUUUUGUUAGCGGUCAGUAAACAUGUCCGAGAUUAAAGGUCAUGGUCACCAUUACUGUUCAAAACUGGUCUUUGUUAUCAGAGUAACUUAUUGGUGUUCUGGUGGAUCAAGCUUCAUCAGUUAAAUUUAUGAUAUUUUUGCCAAAUCUUUAAAAAAGAUUGUCAGGGAGAAUGUAUGCAUUUAAAGAUUGUCAGGGAGAAUGUUUGCAUUUAAAGUUUUAAGGACUCUGAAAAGUAGUUAUAGACCCCAUUUUCACGAACCAAUACUUAAAAAAAACAUCUUAACAUGUAACUGUUUGAUUUAAAUGAUCACAUAUGAUAUUGAAAAGUUUUACAGUACUGAAAAUUUGCCACAGAUUACAGAGUUAACAGAUUAAGGGAAGUUAUGGCCUAGGUAAGCACUAUUGACAAGACUAGGCAUGGGUUUUACUCUCUAACCAACCUGUACUUACCAGGAUGUUGUCUUAUUGUGAUGUAGUAAAGACAACUUAAUCAGCUGUGAUUAGUGGGCUCUGACAAUACUGGGAUGUUUUAUCAAACUAAUAAUGCUGAAAUCUGUGUCAAGAAGACAAAAUCAUGUCCUUUGAGUACCUGGAUUGUGUGAAAUUUCCAAGUUUAUGUAUGUUGUAGUGUUUGUAUAUUGAACACUUUUGUCUACUGUUGAUUGUAAUAUACUCUGGAAGCAUGGUUGGUUUCCAGGGUAAUCAAGGUAUCUAAAUUUGUUGUAUGUUAGUUUAUAAUUACACUCUCCUAUUUAUUAUAUUCCUGGUCACAUUUACAUAAAAAGAUUUGAUGUUUGUCUACUGUGAUUCAAAUUUCAGGUAUUGUUUUUAGUAAAAUAGUAUAUAAGUAUAUUCUACAUAUUCACUGCUACUGUUAUCACAUGCAGUACACAGAUAACUGGGGUGAUUUGGCACAAUAAAUGUAUUACACAUUUUAUAGAGGUGUUCUGUACAGUAAAUACGGUAACACUUUAUAGAGGUGUUCUGUACAGUAAAUACGGUAACGCUUUAUGGAGAUGUUCUGAACAGUAAAUACGGUAACACUUUAUAGAGAUGUUCUGUACAGUAAAUACGGUAACACUUUAUAGAGAUGUUAUGUACAGUAAAUACGGUUACACUUUAUAGAGGUGUUCUGUACAGUAAAUACGGUAACACUUUAUAGAGGUGUUCUGUACAGUAAAUACGGUAACACUUUAUAGAGGUGUUCUGUACAGUAAAUACGGUAGCACUUUAUAGAGGUGUUCUGUACAGUAAAUACGGUAACACUUUAUAGAGGUGUUCUGUACAGUAAAUACGGUAACACUUUAUAGAGGUGUUCUGUACAGUAAAUACGGUAACACUUUAUAGAGGUGUUCUGUACAGUAAAUACGGUAACACUUUAUAGAGGUGUUCUGUACAGUAAAUACGGUAACACUUUAUAGAGGUGUUCUGUACAGUAAAUACGGUAACACUUUAUAGAGGUGUUCUGUACAGUAAAUACGGUAACACUUUAUAGAGGUGUUCUGUCAGCUUUGAUGAUACAUUUUUUCAGAAACCCCCGAGUUUAAACACCUUCUUACAGAGUGAUGUACAAUAAUAAGGUAAUUGCAAAGUGAGACCGAUGUAAACAGUAAACAAUUUAAACAAAUUACCGUAAAUUCCUGUGGGAUGCACACUAAACACUGGCUCAUAGAAAUUCUGGGUCAUUAAAAUAAAGAUACAUUAGCCAAGUUGUUGGUUGAAUAGACUUGUUUAACUCUAACAAAUAUUUAUGGUCUGAACGAAUUAUACAAACAAUUCUGUAUCAUUCUUCCUGAGGAGUGAGCCCUCCACCUGUGGUCAUAACACUAUAUGUGAUUUGGUUGAUUGAUCAAAUAUAAAUCGGCAGUAAUGUCACAUUAAAACACUGAGGGAGAUAACUCUGUAAUACAUUACAGGGUGCCCUGGGUUAGUGUAGAAUCUCGGUCAUAUCAGCAGUAGAACUGUUUUAUUACAUGUUAAUAGAACUAUAAAGGGAAAUUAAGUUUGGAGGGAUGUUAGAAAAACAUAUGAUUUCAAUUAUUUGUUUUUUGUUGUCAAGGCAUUUAAAGUUGUUAUCUUUACAUCCGUCAUUGUUUUUGUUUUGAUUUUAAGGCAUUUAUGGAAUAAAAUUGUAGCAUUGAUGAAGUGUUGAUCUAUGUAGUAUUUUAGCAUUAUAGCUAUCUGUUUUUGUUUGAGGGACACACAAACCCUAAUUAGGGUCGAGGGACACACAAACCCUAAUUAGGGUCCAGGGACACACGAACCCUAAUUAGGGUCCAGGGACACACAAACCCUACUUAAUGAUCCACUGUAGUUUACCUUCAAACUGACCUUGUUAUAACCUUUCCUAUGGAGGGAGAUUUUACACUCUCAUGUUUCCAAAAAAAAUUCUUCAGACAAAAAAUUAUCAUCAAAUUCUCUUCAUAGAUGAAAAACAUUUUAAGGGUGCUUUAACAUAAUUGUGAGUUUCAUGACCAACAGACUUCACAUUUCCCCUUUAGGAAGAGGUGAAGUUAACUCUAGUUGUAUGUAGGAAGGAGACACAUAUUUUGUUGAUUUUCAGUUUGAAAAUAAUUGAAACUUGUAUGGGGUUAUAUGUAUAAGAUAAAGGUUUGAUGGUAUGAACAUUUUGAUGCUUUGCCCACUACAAGGACAAGGGGUGGGAUCCAGUGAUUAGAUUUUUGACUUAUUCACAGUGCUGUAUUUAGACAGCAUAUCAAGAGAUCUGGCUUUUUUUUUCAUGAAAAAAUUUCCAAGUCUGAUCACAUCAAACAAAAAAUUUUGUACAUCUGGUUGGCAAGGCUUGUUGUCCUCUUGUUUCUCAAUUUGAUUUAAUGUACUAAACUUUGACAUUUUGCAGCAACAUUUUGUCAAUUAAGUCUUAUAAUUUAAUUCAAAUUUUCUUAUUUAGUAUGACUCUAUUAACUUAUUUUUCUUCUGAUGUCUUCAAACUUAAUUUGUUUGCUGGAUGACCUUGAUGUACUUUCAAUGUCACAGGGUUCAAAUGUGUUAAAAUCUUUAAAAGACUUAUUCUUAAUAACAAAGAAGCCCAUGGUCAUGCUUUUUGUUCAGUUCAUUAGAAUGCAUGCUUAGGUCAAAAAUGAAGGCAAAGGUCAUUAGCUUGAAAGGUCAAAGUCAAAUUUUGUAUCAUUUCACUGAUUGUGAUAAACAUUUUGUUAUGACGUAAUGGACCAGAGUUGGUCAAAAUAAUAAAGUUUAAGGUCACUGGGUCAAAAAGGUCAAGGACAGAGGGUUAAUGGUCAAAGUCAAAUUUUGUAUAGUUUCACUGAUAAACAUUUUGUUAUGACAUUUGAGGGUAAAGUUGGUCAGAAUUAAACAAGGAGUGACCUUAUCAAAAUGAGUAUAAUACUGGUAUUUUUAUUUCUGGUAGCCCAGCAAAUGUGGAGGUGGAAAGAAAUGAGAUCAUAGAACAUCUAUAAAUAUGUCUAUUUUUCUUCAGCAACGAUAUGAGCAGACGAUAUGAGCAGACGGCUUCUUGUUGAUUAUGGGGGAUAUAUAUUAUAACCUUGUAUUACUUUCAAGGUUGCAAGAGUGAGAUUUGUUGAGUGUUGGUUUAAACAUGUUUAGUUAGCAACACAUCAUCUAUCAUAUAUAUCAAAGCUCAGGAUGACUGAUCAGGCCCAUGGGCCUCUUGUUUCACAAGGUAUGGGUUUAGUCCAUGUUGUAUUUUUAUCAAAUGAAUGCCAUAAUACUACAAUAUGAGUGUCUAACAGAACUUUUUUUAUUUAUGAAUAAAAUACUGCUUGAUGUAAAA